rnacentral:tRNA from 1 species
GCCUGGGUGGCUCAGUCGGUUGAGCGUCCGACUUUGGCUCAGGUCAUGAUCUCACCGUUGGUGGGUUCGAGCCCCGCGUCAGGCU